UACGUAGGGGGCUAGCGUUGUCCGGAAUCAUUGGGCGUAAAGCGCGUGUAGGCGGUCCGGUAAGUCCGCUGUGAAAGUCGGGGGCUCAACCCUCGGAUGCCGGUGGAUACUGUCGGGCUUGAGUACGGAAGAGGCGAGUGGAAUUCCUGGUGUAGCGGUGAAAUGCGCAGAUAUCAGGAGGAACACCAAUUGCGAAGGCAGCUCGCUGGGACGUUACUGGCGCUGAGACGCGAAAGCGUGGGGAGCAAACAGG
rnacentral:rRNA from 1 species